CAAAGCAGAGCAUGAACAUGCUAUUCACUUACACUGAAAUGAUAGAUACAAUUCUUGCUUUGA
rnacentral:tRNA from 1 species